rnacentral:rRNA from 1 species
GAUGAACGCUGGCGGCGUGCCUAAUACAUGCAAGUCGAGCGAACAGACGAGGAGCUUGCUCCUCUGACGUUAGCGGCGGACGGGUGAGUGACACGUGGAUAACCUACCUAUAAGACUGGGAUAACUUCGGGAAACCGGAGCUAAUACCGGAUAACAUGUUGAACCGCAUGGUUCAACAGUGAAAGACGGUCUUGCUGUCACUUAUAGAUGGAUCCGCGCCGCAUUAGCUAGUUGGUAAGGUAACGGCUUACCAAGGCAACGAUGCGUAGCCGACCUGAGAGGGUGAUCGGCCACACUGGAACUGAGACACGGUCCAGACUCCUACGGGAGGCAGCAGUAGGGAAUCUUCCGCAAUGGGCGAAAGCCUGACGGAGCAACGCCGCGUGAGUGAAGAAGGUCUUCGGAUCGUAAAACUCUGUUAUUAGGGAAGAACAAAUGUGUAAGUAACUAUGCACGUCUUGACGGUACCUAAUCAGAAAGCCACGGCUAACUACGUG